GGCUUCAUGGCGCAGUUGGUUAGCGCGUCUCCUUAACACUUCUAGUCUUCGGAUCGAUAAGGCUUACGGAGGAGGUCGCCGGUUCGAACCCGCCUGAAAUCA
rnacentral:tRNA from 1 species